rnacentral:rRNA from 1 species
GAUGAACGCUGGCGGCGUGCCUAAUACAUGCAAGUCGAGCGAACGGACGAGAAGCUUGCUUCUCUGAUGUUAGCGGCGGACGGGUGAGUAACACGUGGAUAACCUACCUAUAAGACUGGGAUAACUUCGGGAAACCGGAGCUAAUACCGGAUAAUAUUUUGAACCGCAUGGUUCAAAAGUAAAAGACGGUCUUGCUGUCACUUAUAGAUGGAUCCGCGCUGCAUUAGCUAGUUGGUAAGGUAACGGCUUACCAAGGCAACGAUGCAUAGCCGACCUGAGAGGGUGAUCGGCCACACUGGAACUGAGACACGGUCCAGACUCCUACGGGAGGCAGCAGUAGGGAAUCUUCCGCAAUGGGCGAAAGCCUGACGGAGCAACGCCGCGUGAGUGAUGAAGAUCUUCGGAUCGUAAAACUCUGUUAUUAGGGAAGAACAUAUGUGUAAGUAACUGUGCACAUCUUGACGGUACCUAAUCAGAAAGCCACGGCUAACUACGUG